CAAUAAGCGGAGGAAAAGAAACUAACAAGGAUUCCCCUAGUAACUGCGAGUGAAGCGGGAAAAGCUCAAAUUUAAAAUCUGGCAGUCUAUGGCUGUCCGAGUUGUAAUCUAGAGAAGCGUUAUCCGCGCUGGACCGUGUACAAGUCUCCUGGAAUGGAGCGUCAUAGAGGGUGAGAAUCCCGUCUUUGACACGGACUACCAGGGCUUUGUGAUGCGCUCUCAAAGAGUCGAGUUGUUUGGGAAUGCAGCUCAAAAUGGGUGGUAAAUUCCAUCUAAAGCUAAAUAUUGGCGAGAGACCGAUAGCGAACAAGUACCGUGAGGGAAAGAUGAAAAGAACUUUGGAAAGAGAGUUAAACAGUACGUGAAAUUGCUGAAAGGGAAACGCUUGAAGUCAGUCGCGUUGUCCAGGGAUCAACCUUGCUUUUGCUUGGUGCACUUUCUGGUUGACGGGUCAGCAUCAAUUUUGACUAUUGGAAAAAGAUUAGGGGAAUGUGGCAUCUUUGGAUGUGUUAUAGCCCUUAGUUGCAUACAAUGGUUGGGAUUGAGGAACUCAGCACGCCGCAAGGCCGGGUUUUUAACCACGUACGUGCUUAGGAUGCUGGCAUAAUGGCUUUAAUCGACCCGUCUUGAAACACGGACCAAGGAGUCUAACAUGCCUGCGAGUGUUUGGGUGGAAAACCCGAGCGCGUAAUGAAAGUGAAAGUUGAGAUCCCUGUCGUGGGGAGCAUCGACGCCCGGACCAGACCUUUUGUGACGGUUCCGCGGUAGAGCAUGUAUGUUGGGACCCGAAAGAUGGUGAACUAUGCCUGAAUAGGGUGAAGCCAGAGGAAACUCUGGUGGAGGCUCGUAGCGAUUCUGACGUGCAAAUCGAUCGUCAAAUUUGGGUAUAGGGGCGAAAGACUAAUCGAACCAUCUAG
rnacentral:rRNA from 1 species